GGCCAGGUGGCAGAGUGGUUUAAUGCGCCAGACUCGAAUUAACGCGUUAUAACGCUGUAUAGUCGGUUAUCUGGUUCCUUCGGGAGCGUCUGUUCGAAUCAGGCCCUGGUCG